AUGAGUAAGUUGCUACAAGUUAAAGGGAAGAUGUUGUAUCCUUUAAAGAAGUUAUUUUUAGGACAAAGGGUCUUGGGAUUCACUGUCAUAAGUUUUAACUCUUGUGGUCAAGUCAUCCUACAUGAUUUUUGGAUAAGCUUGCAGAACUACUCCCUUGAGCAAGUAAACAUAAAGAUUGCAGGAUCAGGAGAUCUCUGCAAAACUGCAUCGACUUCUAAAUUAUGUUCACCUUGGGUCACAGUGGGACUGAAAUAUAAAAAUGAAUUUUUUAGAGUAUCCAGCUGUGCAGCAGUGGCUUAUGGUAGAAAAAGGAAUCUCGACAGUAGGAAAUGAAGCUUUCACUAGAUGUGUGUAGGCCUGUCUUCAGUGAUAAAGGCAGUUGAAGAGGCUCCUUCCUUCCUCCACUCCAGCUGCUUAUUCUCAUUUUCACCUGCUGGGAUUCCGUGCACAGUCACUGGGGUCACACUCUAAAGCAGACUUGCAAAGUGAUCUGUUAAUGUUUGAUGUCAAGAUGGAUCAUUUUGCUAAUAUUUAUCGGCUAAAGUUGUUGGGAAUCCCACAAAAACAAAGCAAAAAACAAAAAAAAAAACCCCACCACUAUUCUAUUGAUCUUUGUAAUCUUUGAUCCCUACUUAAAAUAUUUUGUUGUCAUCUGCACAGCAUUUCUUUUUGAGAGCUUUAUCCUGAACAGUAUGGAGAGGCUCCCACUGUGCACUGAAAAUCUGCCAGAGAAAACAAAAAAUUAAAAGAGAUUUUGACCUCCCAAGUGAACUGAACAAUUUGCUGAACUUUGUUCUUGGUCACAGCAGUGUGGUAGAUGCUGCUUUGAUUCCAUGCCUCAUAGGUCCUAAUAUUUCAAGUAAAAGACAUAAUUAACUGGAAUACAAAUAAACAUUAAAAAAUACUAGUUCA
rnacentral:lncRNA from 1 species